rnacentral:rRNA from 1 species
CCUACGGGAGGCAGCAGUGAGGAAUUUUCCGCAAUGGUCGCAAGACUGACGGAGCAACGCCGCGUGCAGGAGGACGCUUUUCGGAGUGUAAACUGCUUUUCUGUGGGAAGAGGAUGGACGGUACCACAGGAAGAAGCCCCGGCUAACUACGUGCCAGCAGCCGCGGUAAU